UACGGGAGGCAGCAGUGAGGAAUAUUGGUCAAUGGACGCAAGUCUGAACCAGCCAUGCCGCGUGAAGGAUGAAGGCGUUCUGCGUUGUAAACUUCUUUUAUCUGGGAAGAAACCUGAGUUUUCUAAUUCAGCCGACGGUACCAGAGGAAUAAGCACCGGCUAACUCCGUGCCAGCAGCCGCGGUAAUACGGAGGGUGCAAGCGUUAUCCGGAUUCACUGGGUUUAAAGGGUGUGUAGGCGGGUACUUAAGUCAGUGGUGAAAUCUCCAGGCUCAACCUGGAAACUGCCAUUGAUACUAUUUAUCUUGAAUAUCGUUGAGGUAGGCGGAAUAUGUCAUGUAGCGGUGAAAUGCUUAGAGAUGACAUAGAACACCAAUUGCGAAGGCAGCUUACUAAACGAAGAUUGACGCUGAGGCACGAAAGCGUGGGGAUCAAACAGGAUUAGAUACCCUGGUAG
rnacentral:rRNA from 1 species